UACAGAGGGGGCAAGCGUUGUUCGGAAUUACUGGGCGUAAAGGGCGCGUAGGCGGUUCGUUAAGUCCUGUGUGAAAUCCCCCGGCUCAACUGGGGAACUGCACAGGAAACUAGCGGGCUUGAGUUCGGGAGAGGGAAGCGGAAUUCCGGGUGUAGCGGUGAAAUGCGUAGAUAUCCGGAGGAACACCGGUGGCGAAGGCGGCUUCCUGGACCGACACUGACGCUGAGGCGCGAAAGCUAGGGGAGCAAACAGG
rnacentral:rRNA from 1 species